rnacentral:rRNA from 1 species
GCGACCCCAGGUCAGGCGGGACUACCCGCUAAGUUUAA